AUUCUCAGCUUGCACAGAGGGGCCAAGAAAGACUGGGAGGGGUCUGGCCAGGUCAGGCCAUGACCCCCUGCACAUGCAGUUUCCUCAGGAAGGGCUGCACUUCAGCUCAUCUGCAGCUUCUACCUAAACAUGGUCUCAAACAAAGUCAACCACAAAAAAGACAAGAAAAGGGAGAAAAUUAAGGAUAUCUGUACAAAUGAAAAAAAGUUAUUCAUCUGAAGGGGACAUGUGAUCAAGACCAGCCAGGCCAGCCGUUGGGAAGGAAAGCUGGAUGAGAAGUGGAGGAGAACGAGGACAAACUGGAACCUGUAAGAACAAAUUGGAACCUAUCAGGACAACUGGAACUCCUGAGGACAAGGUGAAACCUGUGACUUCCUCUCACUGCUUCCAAGCUUAGUGACAUGGGUGACCUGCAGGACAAUGCAGAGCCCUUGGCCACAGAGCUAAAUGGCCCAGGACCCAGGAGUUGAAAGAUGAUAUUCAGCAGGAGCUGGGGAGCUGCAGGACUCGGUACUAUCCUUUAUCAACAAGAAGAGCCAGCACAAUCUGUGCCUGGUGUCCUGCUCAGUCCUUCACCAUGUAAAAACUGGCUACUAUUUCACUUCACCUUUCCAAAUCUUGCUUAAAAUUCCCCUGUGGUCAGCCCUAACCCAGAACCAUAGAAGAAGGGAAUCCUGGGUAACAGAGGUCCUACACUGAACUAAAUCAACACAGUUGAAGCCACCACAAGCAAGUACACCUGGAAGGGUAAAACUCUGUACCUGUGUUAGGGAAAAGCCAAACUAUAGCUCUGUCUCCUUGGUACAGCAGCUCACAACAGAUGCCCAACGACUCAACAGAAGUCUCUCCCUGCCUCCUUACUCUAACAAAUGCUAAGGGUAUGUUCUGGGGCCCUGGGAAAAAGCCCAGUGUUAUUUACAUAAAGUCAAUGGAGGUAUUGUUGAGGGUUUUCUGCUU